GACGUAGGGCGCGAGCGUUGUCCGGAUUUAUUAGGCGUAAAGAGCUCGUAGGCGGCUUGUUGCGUCGACCGUGAAAACCCGGGGCUCAACUUCGGGCUUGCGGUCGAUACGGGCGGGCUAGAGUUCGGUAGGGGAGACUGGAAUUCCUGGUGUAGCGGUGAAAUGCGCAGAUAUCAGGAGGAACACCGGUGGCGAAGGCGGGUCUCUGGGCCGAGAUUGACGCUGAGGAGCGAAAGCGUGGGGAGCGAACAGG
rnacentral:rRNA from 1 species